GCCCGCCUAGCUCAAUCGGAUAGAGCGUCAGACUUUUAUACCCGAAGUGGUUCACAUCUGAAGGCUGCGAGUUCGACCCUCGCGGUGGGCU
rfam:Fomitiporia mediterranea MF3/22 unplaced genomic scaffold FOMMEscaffold_5, whole genome shotgun sequence.